GACGAACGCUGGCGGCGUGCCUAAUACAUGCAAGUUGAGCGAUGAAGAUUGGUGCUUGCACCAAUUUGAAGAGCAGCGAACGGGUGAGUAACGCGUGGGGAAUCUGCCUUUGAGCGGGGGACAACAUUUGGAAACGAAUGCUAAUACCGCAUAACAACUUUAAACAUAAGUUUUAAGUUUGAAAGAUGCAAUUGCAUCACUCAAAGAUGAUCCCGCGUUGUAUUAGCUAGUUGGUGAGGUAAAGGCUCACCAAGGCGAUGAUACAUAGCCGACCUGAGAGGGUGAUCGGCCACCUUGGGACUGAGACACGGCCCAAACUCCUACGGGAGGCAGCCGUAGGGAAUCUUCGGCAAUGGACGAAAGUCUGACCGAGCAACGCCGCGUGAGUGAAGAAGGUUUUCGGAUCGUAAAACUCUGUUGGUAGAGAAGAACGUUGGUGAGAGUGGAAAGCUCAUCAAGUGACGGUAACUACCCAGAAAGGGACGGCUAACUACGUG
rnacentral:rRNA from 1 species